rnacentral:lncRNA from 10 species
CGUGGAAGGGAGGCAGCACCUCCAGGCGACAAGUAGAGCUGGGCCCUGGCGGGCUGCCACGGGGGUGUCUGGCAGUCUCUCCUGGGUCUAGGGCUGUUCCUCUGAGGUCACGAGGUGGUCCUUCGGGUGUGUCUGGGUUGGGAAGAUAAAACCAGCACGUGUAAUGUAAUACAUGACAAUGGAAGAUUCUACGUAAUUAAGGGUUAACUCUGAAAUCAGAAGACAAGUUUUCCAAGACUUGGGAAGGUGGAGAGAUCAGAGAUCAGUGAGAGAACAAAGAAUCGGGGUCCAGAUGUCAGGGAUGGAAGUUGGAGAAAGAUGAGGCAGCAGCAGACACUUUCUCCUGUUGGCCUUAAAGAAGCAACCGCCUGUGCUGGGAGAGGGUCACUGGGCUGAGAUUGGUAGGUGGCUCUGGGAGCUGAGGGCCUAAACCUAUGACCACAAGGAACUGAAUUCAUCCCAAAGCCAGAGAGGUGGAAGACGACUCAGAAGAUGCAGAUGCCAAUGCCACAUCCUGGUGAGCAGCUGGAUUGCAGCUGGACCCGCUAAACCAAGCCCCAGACUCCUGACCAGUGGGAGCUGCAAGAUAAUGAAUAUAGUUUUCUUGUUGUUUUUUGUUUUCUUUUUAAUAAGCAAUAUGACUUUAUUUAGUUACUUUGGAAACAAAAACCCCCAAAUAAUGCCUGAACCCAAAGGUACAUAAAAAUGGCCCAAAAUAGUUUAAAAUAGAUUUGAACAUCAUUUGUAGUUUCUUCCUCAUAACAUGAGCGCUUUCAGCUGGACAGUAGAUUACAAAGCAUCUCCGAUCAUGUUAAGGCAGAUCAUCAAUCUGUGGCUGCAUCUGUAACUCCUGCUGGGAAAAUAAUCCUGUUGGAGUUGGGGGCUCUUCCCAGUUGUUUGGCCAGUUGGCCCAGGAAGGGGCAGUCCUGGAGCUGACGGGUGGGUGAGGAGCCAGGCCCCACCUGUUUUUUGUUUUCUUACGACAGAGUCUUCCUCUGUUGCUCAGGCUGGAGUGCAGUGGCGCUAUCUCGGCUCACUGUAACCUCCACCUCCUGGGUUCAAGCGAUUCUCCUGCCUCAGCUUCCAGGAGAGCUGAGACUACAGGUGUGUGUCAUUACACUGGGCUAAUUUUUUAUUACUUUUUUUAAGCAGUGAUGGUGUUUUGCCAUGUUGGGUUUUGAGCUCCUGACCUUAGGUGACCCAUCUACCUCGGCCUCCCAAAGUAUUGGGAGUUUCCAAGGCUCCCUUAGUGUAAGCCAGGAUUUUUUAAAUACAAGGCGGCAAAGAUACCACAAUGUUACCACAACACAACAAUGUAUAUCACAACCAUGUAUACCACUAUGUAUACCACAAUGUUAUUCACUGUAGCUGCUCCCACAGAAAAGUAGUUUACAAGACAGUGAAGUACAAUAUGAAACUGAAGAUGUUUAGAGAGGAAACAGUGAUUUAAAGAGUGCUCUGUAGAAUUAAAACCAGUUAGCCCGGCACAUUGGGGAACACCUCUGGUCCCAGUUACUUAGGAGGCUAAGAUGGGAGGAUCACUUAAACCUCGGAGUUUGAGGCCACCCCGGGAACACAAUGAAACCUUGUCUCAAGAAACAAAACCAAAUACCCCAAGUAGGCCGGGUGUGGUGGCUCAAGCCUGUAAUCCUAGCACUUUACGAGGCUGAGGCAGACAGAUCACUUGAGGUCAGGAGUUUGUGAACAGCCUUGCCAACAUGGGUAAACCCUGUCUCUAAAAAAAAAAAAAAAAAAAAAAGCCAGGUAUGGUGACACACACUUGUAAUCCCAGCUACCCCGGAUGCUGAGGCAUGAGAAUCCCUUAAACCCAGGAGGUGGAGGUUGCAGUGAGCUGAGAUCAUGCCACUGCAUUCCAGCCUGGGAGACAGAACCAGAUUUGGUCUCAAAAAAAAAAAAAUUGGUUAAUGGCAUUAAAAGUCAACUAAUAAAAUUAGUUAAAACUAUGGACUUUAAUAAAUGUUAUCUGUUUUAGCAAUUUUUUUUUUUGAGACGGAAUUUCACUCUUGUUGCCCAGGCUGGAGUGCAAUGGCGCGAUAUCAGCUCACUGCAACCUCUGCCUCCAGAGUUCAAGUGAUUCUCCUGCCUCUUCCUCUGGCUCCGGAGCAGCUAGGAUUACAGGCGCCCACCACUACGCCUGGCUAAUUUUUUUGUAUUCUUUGUAGAGAUGGGGUUUCACCAUGUUGGCCAGGCUGGCCUCAAACUCCUGACCUCCAGUGAUCUGCCCGCCUUGGCCUCCCAAAGUGCUAGGAUUACAGGUGUGCACCACCGCGCCCGGACUGUUUUAGCAAAUUUGACAAAAUGUGGGUAAUUUAUCCAUAUAAUAGAAAAUGCCUAAUAUUCAUUAAUUGAAAAUUAGAAAUUACAUUAAAAUAUUCGGUACUGUUUUUUAAACUAUUCUACUUUUACAUAUUUGGGAAGAUUAUUUUCUUUAACGAUUCUGUUUUAUAUAUUUUAUUAAUUGUGUUAUCUGUUUCCUGAAAUUAAUAUAUGCUAGAAGGAAAAUUACCUUUAUAAAUGUCAGCAUCUUAAAAGUCAUGUCAAUAUGCAGAUUUUGAUAACAAUCGGUAUAGAUAAACUAAUUCUAAAGUUAGGAAUGGGGCCAGGCGCGGUGGCUCAGACCUGUAAUCCCAGCACUUUGGGAGGCCGAGGUGGGCGGAUCACUUGAGGUUAGGAGUUCGAGACCAGCCUGGCCAACAUGGCAAAACCCUGUCUCUAUUAAAAAUGCAAAAAUUAGCUGGGUGCGGUGGCGGGUGCCUGUAAUCCCGGCCACUCAGGAAGCUGAGGCAGGAGCAUGGCUUGAACCCGGGAAGCAGAGGUUGCAGUGAGCCAAGAUGAGCCACUGCACUCUAGUCUGGGUGACAAAGUAAGACUCUGUCUCAAAAAUAAAUAAAUAAAUAAAGUCAGGAAUAGGUCAUGCCAUGCUUUAUUAUAUCCGUGAUGCUUUAUUAUAUCUGUGACUUUGAAAAUUAACAUUAUUUUACUAACCAUACUCAACAAUGCUUUUUAAAAAGGGAUUUAUGACAUAUAAUUCUUUUGGAAAUUAAAAUGCAUGGUAUAAUUCUAUGGUUGGUCAGAUUACACUUCAGGUGUAAAUGAAUUACCUUAAAAAUGUAUUUCUUAGGUUUAUGUUUUAUGGACUUAAUAAAUAUUUUAUUACAAUUUUUUUUUUUUUUAGACAGAAUCUCACUCCGUCACCCAGGCUGGAGUGCAGUGGCACGAUCUCGGCUCACUGCAACCUCCACCUCCUGGGUUCAAGUGAUUCUCCUGCCUCAGCCUCCCGAGUAGCCGGGAAUACAGACGCAUGCCACCGCUCCUGGCUAAUUUCUGUAUUUUUAGUAGAGCCGUGGUUUCACCAUAUUGGCCAGGCUGAUCUCGAACUCCUGACAUUGUGAUCUGCCCUCCUUGGCCUCCCAAAGUGCUGGGAUUACAGGCGUAAGCCACCGCACCCAGCAGAAAAAAAUCUUAAACUUACAAAAACAUAGAGAGAAAUAUAGCAAAUGCUUGUAUUAGUUUUCUAUGGCUGCUGUAACAAAUUACUACCACUUUGGUGACCUAAAACAACCCAAAUUUACUACCGUACAAGUCCUGUAGGUCAGGAGCCCACACGGGGCUCACUGGGCUAAAACUCAGGUGAUGGCAGGACACCUGAGCAUCUGCAGGAUCAUUCAUUCCUUGCCUUUUCCACCUUGAGAGGCCACCUGUGGCAUUCCUGGGCUUGUGGCCCCUUCCUCCAUCUCCGGAGUCAGCACCAGCGGCCACAUCCUUGUCAGGUUGAAUCUCUCUGAACUUCCUUCCAGUGUUACGUCUCUUUCCAAUUCUCAUUUGCAGGUAAAGGUUCUCGGAAGGACCCAAUGAGACUGGGCUCACUGGGAUAAUCCAGGAUCAUCUCCCAUCUCAAGGUUCUUCAUCGCAUACUUGCAAAGCCCCUUUUGCCAUGUCAGGUAACUUGUUCACAGGUUUGAAGAUUAGAAUGUGGGCAUGUUUGGGGGGCAUAAUUAGGCCUAGCACAAUGCCCAUGUACCCAUCUCCUUGCUUAAACAUUAAACACUUUGCCAA